rnacentral:lncRNA from 1 species
UAACCUGCAGCAGCCAGUUUAAAACAAAAUCAUUUCCAACUAACAUAAUUAUCUCUAACUAAUUGAGUCAUUCCCAACUAACUGAGUUAUCAGUUAACUCAGUGAGUCAAGGUUAACUAAUUCCAAGCCUUCCCUAACAGAAUCCAAUCCUAAUUCUAAACCUAACCAAACUCCAAACCUAACCUCUAUUUAAACAGUUCAUCACUCACAUUCAAUCACUUUUUUGCAUUUACCUGAAAAUUCACUC